UGCCAUUUGCAAUGACAUGGAGCUAGAGAGUAUAAUGCUAAGUGCAAUAUGUCAGAGAAUGGCAAAUAGCUUAUGAUUUUACUCAUAUAUAGACUAUAAGAAACAAAACAAAUGAGCAAAGAGGAAAAAGAGAGAGAGAAAACAAGAAACAGACUCUUAAUUAUAGAGAACAAACUGAUAGUUACCAGAAGAGAGAAUGAAGACUCCUCAAGUCCAAGGACUUUGUGUUUUUUAAUUCUGUAUUCCCAGAAGCAAGAAGAAAUCCUGUCUCAAUAUAGACAUUCAUUAAAUAUUUGCUAUAGAA